UACGUAGGGAGCAAGCGUUGUCCGGAAUCAUUGGGCGUAAAGCGCGCGUAGGCGCCCGAUAAGUCCGCUGUGAAAGUCAACGGCUCAACUGUUGGAUGCCGGUGGAUACUGUCGGGCUAGAGUACGGAAGAGGCAAGUGGAAUCCUGGUGUAGCGGUGGAAUGCGCAGAGUAUCAGGAGGAACACCUAUAGCGAAGGCAGCUUGCUGGGACGUUACUGACGCUAAGGCGCGAAAGCGUGGGGAGCGAACAGG
rnacentral:rRNA from 1 species